AGGGGUUUAGCUCAAUGAUAGAGCACUUGCGUAUCAUGUGCGAGGACCUGGGUUUGAUCCCCAGCACCUCAA
rnacentral:tRNA from 1 species